UACGGAGGGUGCGAGCGUUGUCCGGAAUUACUGGGCGUAAAGCGCACGUAGGUGGUUUGUUAAGCCAGCUGUGAAAUCCCCGGGCUCAACCUGGGCACUGCAGUUGGAACUGGCAAGCUAGAGUAGGGUAGAGGGGUGUGGAAUUCCAGGUGUAGCGGUGAAAUGCGUAGAUAUCUGGAGGAACAUCAGUGGCGAAGGCGACACCCUGGACUCAUACUGACACUGAGGUGCGAAAGCGUGGGGAGCAAACAGG
rnacentral:rRNA from 1 species